AAACUAACAAGGAUUCCCCUAGUAACGGCGAGUGAACCGGGAAGAGCUCAAAUUUGAAAUCUGGCGUCCUCAGGGCGUCCGAGUUGUAAUCUAUAGAGGCGUUUUCCGUGCCGGACCGUGUCCAAGUUCCUUGGAACAGGAUAUCAAAGAGGGUGACAAUCCCGUACUUGACACGACGACCGGUGCUCUGUGAUACGUCUUCUACGAGUCGAGUUGUUUGGGAAUGCAGCUCAAAAUGGGUGGUGAGUUCCAUCUAAAGCUAAAUAUUGGCGAGAGACCGAUAGCGAACAAGUACCGUGAGGGAAAGAUGAAAAGCACUUUGGAAAGAGAGUUAAACAGUACGUGAAAUUGUUGAAAGGGAAACGAUUGAAGUCAGUCGUGACCGAGAGGCUCAGCCGGUUCUGCCGGUGUAUUCCCCUCGGUCGGGUCAACAUCAGUUUUGUCCGGUGGAUAAGGGCGGUAGGAAGGUGGCACCCUCGGGUGUGUUAUAGCCUGCCGUCGCAUACAUCGGGUGAGACUGAGGAACGCAGCUCGCCUUUAUGGCCGGGGUUCGCCCACGUCCGAGCUUAGGAUGUUGACAU
rnacentral:rRNA from 1 species